rnacentral:rRNA from 1 species
GACGAACGCUGGCGGCGUGCUUAACACAUGCAAGUCGAACGGAAAGGCCCUGCUUUUGUGGGGUGCUCGAGUGGCGAACGGGUGAGUAACACGUGAGUAACCUGCCCUUGACUUUGGGAUAACUUCAGGAAACUGGGGCUAAUACCGGAUAGGAGCUCCUGCUGCAUGGUGGGGGUUGGAAAGUUUCGGCGGUUGGGGAUGGACUCGCGGCUUAUCAGCGUGUUGGUGGGGUAGUGGCUUACCAAGGCUUUGACGGGUAGCCGGCCUGAGAGGGUGACCGGCCACAUUGGGACUGAGAUACGGCCCAGAAUCCUACGGGAGGCAGCAGUGGGGAAUAUUGCACAAUGGGCGGAAGCCUGAUGCAGCAACGCCGCGUGCGGGAUGACGGCCUUCGGGUUGUAAACCGCUUUCGCCUGUGACGAAGCGUGAGUGACGGUAAUGGGUAAAGAAGCACCGGCUAACUACGUG